UACGGGGCGCAGCAGGGGCGAAAACUUUACAAUGCGGGAAACCGUGAUAAGGGGACACCGAGUGCCAGCAACAUUUGUUGGCUGUCCGGGUGUGUAAAAUACACCUGUUAGCAAGGGCCGGGCAAGACCGGUGCCAGCCGCCGCGGUAACACCGGCGGCCCGAGUGGUGAUCGUUAUUAUUGGGUCUAAAGGGUCCGUAGCCGGUUUGGUCAGUCCUCCGGGAAAUCUGAUAGCUCAACUAUUAGGCUUUCGGGGGAUACUGCCAGGCUUGGAACCGGGAGAGGUAAGAGGUACUACAGGGGUAGGAGUGAAAUCUUGUAAUCCCUGUGGGACCACCUGUGGCGAAGGCGUCUUACCAGAACGGGUUCGACGGUGAGGGACGAAAGCUGGGGGCACGAACCGGAUUAGAUACCCGGGUAGUCCCAGCCGUAAACGAUGCUCGCUAGGUGUCAGGCAUGGUGCGACCGUGUCUGGUGCCGCAGGGAAGCCGUGAAGCGAGCCACCUGGGAAGUACGGCCGCAAGGCUGAAACUUAAAGGAAUUGGCGGGG
rnacentral:rRNA from 1 species